AUAAAUAUUCUAUAUUUAUCUCACGUUCGACGCCUUCCCAUCGGGUCUACACUCGAGGCGCGGCAACCAAGCGGUUGCCGAUUGUCCAUACUUCGACCUGAGGAAAGUCCCCGGACCCACAAGCAGAAAGUGCAACCGGCCCAACGGCCGAUCGGCGCACUCUCGCCCUUCCGUGUCUUUCUACGGAGGUGACCAGGGGUCCCCCAACUCGGGCGUCUGUGAUCCGUCAGGACGGGCUUGUAGUGUUUGCCGACUGGUCCUAGAUAUAUAGUAUGUAAGGAAGGGUAGCCCGCGUCAAAACGGGAUAUCCCAACUUAAUGGGGCUUACGUUCGAACGUGAGACAGAAAAAUUUUUUUUAAAUUCAAAAAAUUUAUAUUCAUUUUAUAAUUUUAUUUUAUCGAAAUAUAUAACAUUUAAGAUUCUGAGUGAAACGAGG